CACGUGGGAGUGGCUUGCCUGCCCAGACCCACUGAGCCUGCAGGUGUCCCUGGUAGGAGAGAUGGGAGGGCUUGUCCCUGACCAUUUCGCGCAUCACUGCUGCGGGUGAGAAACCAGGGACAGGUGGGAGAGGAGGGGCACCUCCUGAGCCUCCCCUCCCUGUGGAGACCCCCAUGUCACCAGCUGUGCCUGAGGCAGGGCAGCGCCACGUCCCUCUCUCUCCAGCUGCCCUUGGUCACCCAGCACCUGUUUUGUGUCAGGAGGGGUUUAUUGGGGGGGAGUGCCUUGGUCCCAACUCUGGGCUCUUUGUGGGACUUAGGCACACCUGGGAAUGACUCACAGGUGAAGGGCUGGGGGAGGACAGGUCCCUGGAGGUUCUGAUAGCUGCUGGCCUCUUGCAAUUUAAGUGGGCAAGGCCUUAGGGCCAUGUCACCAGCCUCAUGCUUUCCAAGUGUUGCCCUUCCCUGCUGCGUCACCUCUUCCCCACCAGGGAACGGAGGGAGGGCAGGUGGGAGCCCCCGGUGGGGAACUCGAGGAUUCAGGGAUGGCACAGACAGGAGUCCUUCAGCUCAGUGGGAACUGGACAUCCCUCGCCUAGGGUUGGGGGAGUGCCUCUGGCCACAGGCCAGGAUCGCCGGCUCCUUGCUCCUCAACUCCGACCCUGCAGGCGGAUCAGUUCCUUAAAAGGGCUGUUCUUGGGCCUUCCCAACAGGUGCCCAGGGUGCAGCUGGAGUACACACUGAUGUCAACCUCCCAGAGUGUCCUGGACGGGCGCCGAGGCCACCUCCACCCUGUUACACCAGAGGAACAAGGGUGACAACUGUCUGGGCUGAGUCCUGGGCUGGCUCUGUGGGGAGGUGGCUCCAGGCCUCUCCAGGGACUGGAGUGAAGGCCUGAGAGUGCCCACCCCUGAGGGAGAGGACCCCGUGUGGGGGUGGAUGCCCUACUCCAGGACAGCUCUCGGCUGCCUCUCAGCCCCAAGCUGUGGACAGCCCUGCAGGAGCUCUCACCACUUGGUGCAAUGGUGGGGAUGGGGACAGGGCUGUCUGAGCUGGCACUUGAUCCUACGCCAGCCCCCGGUUCCCAGAGGAGCGAAGACUGGACAUCAUGCUCAGGCCCCCUGGCUCCAGGCCCCACCCUGGCUCCAGGCUCCCAUUGUCCCAGCGUGGUGCCAGUGAGUAGCUGGUGACUGAGGGACUCAGGGUGCCCAGAUCCCAGCCCAGGGUUGUCUCCUGCCCCCCCGCCUGCUGAGGGGCUGGAGCCCGUGCUGACUUCCCUGCCCCAGAUGCCUCAGUUCCCGCCCCCAGACCUGCCACCCUGCCCUUGGUCUCUCCCUGGGCAUGAGAAAUGAGCCCCUGGGCCUGGCAGUAGCCUGAGGUGUCCCAGAUCUCCUAAUAACAGAAGCACUGGGAGGCCCCAGAUGGAGGCCGCGUGGAGGUAGAAGGGUCAGCUGUGGACGGCAGGAAAUGUCUGAUUUUUGGCAUCCGACUGCCUCUGCAAUGACAUCAUCAGAAGGUUGUCACUGACUGGGCAGUAAAGCAGCUCAUGACCCUGACUGUAGAAUGCCCAGUGGAGCCAGCCUGCAGCCCUGGCCGUGGCCACUCCUGGCUUCAGCCGAGGCCCCUCACGGGCAGCAGCCCUGCCAGGAGCGGGCUGCAGAGUCUUGCCCAAGCACCCUGCGGCCUGGCCCCGCCCUCUGCAAUGCACCUCGGCCUGACGGGCAGCCUUGUCCACCAGGUAUCCCCAGUUGCAGUGCGGUUAGCUGGGGGAGCUGGGGUACCACCCUGGGUGGGGGCCAAGGGCGGGGGUCCGUGUCUUCCGGCACAGCUUCCUGCAGGCUCUCAGUUCCCAGAGGGGGAGGGAAGCAGGAGAGGCCGCAGAAGUGGGAGGUGACAGGAAACCCAGGGCUGCGGCUCUCUGCCCCACUGCCUCUGAGACCUGUGUCUCCCAGGAAAACAGGCCUCCAGGGACUGGACACUGCAGGACCUAGGCCCUCUUCUGGGGGUGGCAGGUGCCGAGGAGGCCCCUUACUGGACUUCCCAGCACUCAGAAGCAAGCCUCGUGGAGCUGCCCCCUCCAUAUGUGGCCGCAUGCCGUGAUUCCAGUCGCCACCCUAGAGACAUCCCCAACCCAGGAGGGAUGGAGCCUCUCCCAUGCCCACCUCAGUCCCCCGCUCAAGCCAAUUCCUUCUCAACAGAGGGCCUGAGAGCCAGAGACGGAGGGGCUGGGGAAUGGGAAAGCCAGCUGCCCCCAGCCAAUCACCCCAGAACACCACUGCUCAGCCUCCGAGUUGGAGGGCAGCCCGGUGUGGGCUCUUGGCCCACGGCCCACUGGGCCCACAUCAAAGUCCUGGUCAGGCCCGUCUCCCAAGUCAGGGUCUCUUCCAUGCUCACGUGGUGGUCUCAUAGUUGAGCUUGGUUUGUAAAACAGAGAUGCCUGUUCUCUGUGGUGGUGGCGGGGGGCAGUGGCUGGGGGCAGGGCCGGGGCGGUGGCCGGGGCGGCUCUCAGCUCCUGGAGGUACAUGGAGAGCUCUUGUGGCUCCUGGGGGAGAUCAUAUCAUGUCACCUUGUUAAACCAAGUCCACCCCUCGUGACAUCUCUCCAUGAAAGAGGCCAAGGCCUUCUGUUUACAGGGUGACUCUAGGGACCUCUAUAAGGCGAGUACCCCAGGGACAGUGGUUUGGGGCUUCCAAAGAAAGCUGAGAGAUAGCUCCUUGUCCCCUGGACUGAGGUGGAUGGAGCGUCCCCGAGGGCCACCUCUGUGGGACACCCCAGGCUUUGCCACCCUCAGGCUGAGGACUCCCACAGCCAGCUGACCCAGCAGGGCAUCCCUGCGUCCCGCAUGCCCAGCCCAAGCUCGGGACAGGAGGUUUUGGAGGGAACCCUAACCCUAGCAGAGCGUCCCAGAUAGAGGCUCAAUCACUGUCAUGGCUUGCCGGCUGCACAAGAGUUCCCUGGAGGAUUCCGAUGCAAUAACUCAUCAGGCACACGAUAAAUCCAGGGAAUACCUCCUGGGUUGGGAGAAGCCGGAUCUGACUUUCUCUGGAGCUUCCCGAGCGGGCAGGGCCAUUCAGCAGCUCUAGCGCACUUUGUCUGUUACCUGGGAGGCUCCCUCCUGCAGGACAGGGCUCCCAGUGAAAGCCAACCCCGAAGAGGGAAUUGUGCUCAGGGACCCCAGAGUGUGGCAGUCCCCCGACUGAGUGCUGUCUCUGCUCAGUUGAUCAGCACCAGGGGGAGAGGUAAAUAGGGGUGCCGAGAGGAGGAGAAGGGAGGACCAGCCACUGCCACCUGCCCGUCAGCUGCAAGCACCUGUGGAGACAGGACGGGUGCCCACAGGAGACGGAUUCCCCUUGCAGAGCUCCUGGCUGAACCAGCUGCUGCUGAGGUCUGCUGUCAGGGCACGUGUGGAUGUCACAGGCCCUCUCCAGGAGGGACAAGCUGGGCCCUGGGAAGCUAGUGGGAUGCAUGGGCCAACUGCAGGAUGUGGAGAUAGAUCAUGGAGCAAGAACUGCGGUUUCCUCACCCCCCAGAUGCUGCACUGGAGCUGGCUGAGACGGGCCUGGCAGAGUCUGCAGCACUGGGCUCCUGAGGAGCAGAGCCCCGCUCCAGGCAGGGGGCUCCUUCAGCACGGAGCCCAAGACCCCGGGCUGGAUUUCACGUGGGGAUGCUGCCGGCAGGGUCACGUUCCUCCUGGGAGGUGGAGUGAGUGGCCAUGGCAGGACAGGGCGGGUGGUCUUGUAGGAUCAGUGGUGUGCGCUGGCCAUGCUCAAACCAGCAGCUGCCCCCUUGCCAGCACAGGUGUUUGUAUUUCUGUUUCUGUUUCUGUACUUGUCUGCUCUGCUGGUCCCAGAGAACCAGAGAACCCAGAGCCUUGCUCGUGCUAGGCAGGUGCUCUACCCAAGCCAGAGCAGCACCUACUUGAAUCUGUCAAGUGACUUUGUGGCCAUUAUGCCAGCAACAGCAUCAGAGCCAUCCACCCGCCCCCCCCCCAAGCUCAUAUAAAUGCAGAGUCCUGGUGCCUCCUGGGCCGUCCAUUUGGGGUUUCAGGGUGUGAAACCCAGCACAUUGGACACUUCUACUCUGUGAUCUGCAGCAGCCAUCAGCAAAGGCCAUGGGGAGACCCAGGAUCAUGCUGAGCAGUAGAAACCCCCUCCAAUGGUGCUCCACCAUGAGCAGCGUCCCCUCCACCCAAGGGCAUCUCACUGGGGCAGAGCCAGGUACACAGACUGCCUGACCACUGAUUGGCCUUUGGUAGAUGUUAGGGUUUGGGUAUGAGGGGUCCCCCAAAGCUCCUGCGAAUGCAGGAAUGCUCAGAGGUGAAAUGAGUGGACUGUGAGAGCUGUGACUUUACCAGCUCACCCUGAUUGAAAUGGACUGACUGGGUGGACUGAGGGCAGGUGGCCCUGGGGUCACGACCUGGAGGUGUUCUUCUUCUUGAGGUUCCUUCCCCAAUCUCAAUCCCUCUCUCUCUCUCUCUCUCUCUCUCUCUCUCCCCUCACUGGGAGUUGAGCAGCUUUCUUCCACUGGACUCCUCCACCAUGAUGUGCUACCUCUCCUCGGGUCCCAGCAAUGGAGCCAGUGGUCCAUAGAUUAGAGCUUUGAAAAUGUGAGCCCCAAAUAAACUUUCCCUCCCCUAAGUUGUUCUUGUUGGGUGUUUUGGUCACAGUGAUGAACGAUGAACUAAAACAGAAAUUGGUCCUGAGAAGUGGAGUCAUCGCUGUGGCUAGCCUGACCUUGGGGUUCAGGAGCCUUUAGAGCUGGUUUGUGGGGGGAUUUUGAAAAGUUUAGAGAUUCAGACUGGAAAAGCUUUCAAAUGUUGUGAGCAGAGCUUAGAGGGAGAUUCUGGCAGCUCAGAAGACAAGAAUGCCGAUAGGAUUGUGGACAGUGCUCAUGAGUUUUCCCAGGGAAAUGAGGACUCCCCUGGGCGGACUGGAGGUCACUCCUGCUAUAUUCUGGCAAAGAACUUGUCUACAUUUUACCCAUGUCCUGAGAGUGCGUGAGGCUGAAUUCAAAAGUGAUGAACUGAUUAAUUUGCUGUAGAAAAUUUCAAGGCAGCACAAUAUUCAGUCAGUGGCAUGGAUACUCUGGGCAGUUUUUAGCCAAGUUUACUGUGAAAAAUGGGGGUAGAAAUCAAAAAAAGUUGAAGAAUGUUAAAAACUUGAAGUUGGACCAGAAAAAUGCAUGUAAAGUUGGGGCCAAGAAGGAUGUGCUUGUUGGAGAGACCACACCCCUAAAGGACCCUAAGUGCUGAGCACAGGGACCUGGGAGAGAGGGCCUGAGGGCACCUCAGGAAUUUGCAAGACCACCCUACUACAGGCUCCAGGGUACAGAUGAGAAAAUUACUUUGAAAGGAGAUCGUGGGGCACCCUGCUCACACGAGGUGGCAGGGCGUGGGGGCUAGGAAGUUGUCUCACAGUGCUGAGCUGCACAGAUAUUCAGAUGGGAGGGGCCAGGUUUCAUGCAAGGUGGAAAACCUUGGUAUCAUCCUUGUGAUGCUGGUUCUGCAGGGAUGCUGGAUGCUAGGUUAAGGGACUCUGGAGGCUUCCACCAAAGUCUCAAAGGAAGACCUGGGUGGCCAGGCAAAGGGUGGCAAGGUUGGAGUCCCUGUGGGCAGCUCCCGAGAGGCAGAUGCAGGAGGUUGUGGAGGUGAAGCUGACGCUGGAGUGGAGACCUCGGGAACUAAGAGACGUUGGGAGCUGGGAGCAUGGACUGACUCCUGAGAAAGCUGCUGGCUGUGCAAGUGCCAGGCAGGAGGAGAGCCCAGGUGGCACCUGGCAAGGUCAAAGGGGCGGGGCUGCCCAAGCCCUUUGGAGAGCACAUUUCCCAGCCACGUGUCUGAGGUACUGAGUGCAGAGUUCCUGGGCCUGUGUACCCAGCUGGAUUUGGGUCCCAUUUCUUCUUUCUGUGCCCCAUCCAUCUCUUUUCCAAUAAAAAUGUUUAUUCUGUGCCACUGUAUUUUGAACAUAUGAAUUUGUUUUUUAUUUUUACAGGGCUCAAGCUGGGACUUUGCCUUGAGUCUCGGAGGAGACUUUGGAGUCAGACUUCUGAGUAAUGCUGGAAUUUUAAGAUAUGGGACUUGUCAGGAUUGACUGAAUGCAUUCUGCUCUUGAGAUGGGCAUUAGCUUUUGGGAGCCAGGGGCACAAUGUCAUGGUUUGGAUAUUAGGAGGCCCCCAGUGCCCCUGUGCUGGUUCAGGAAGUUCAGAGGUGACACAGCUGGACUGAGGGCUGCGACCUCAGCAGCCCACCUGGCUGGAGUGGACUGAUGGGUGGUGACUGCAGGUGGGCGUGGUGGGAGGUGGUCAUGGGGCUGCCCUGGAAGGUGCAUCUUGCCUGUGGCCCCUUCCCCUCUGUCUCUGCUUCCUCGCUGCAUGGAGGGGGCAGCUCCCCUCUGCUGGGCCCCUCCCCCAUGAUGUGCACCCUGGGACCAGAGCCCUGGACUGUGGACAGAGGCCUCUGAAGCUAUGAGCCCCAAAUAAGCUUUCCCUCCUGUUUUUUUAGGGGGGUAUUUUGGUCACGGUGAGGAAAAGCUGACUGAAAUAGUGGGAUGUCCAGUGUGACUGGGCUGUAGGCAGAGCACACCAGGGGGAGCAGAUCCCCAGGUGGUGACAUGGGAACUGGCUGCAGCCAGGCCUGGUCCUCUUCUUGCACACUGCGGAAACCCUUCUCAUCACCCCUCCACGGGGAAUGUCUGCAAAGGUGGCGUUCCCUUGGCCGAUGCCAGGCAGCACUGCUGAGCGUGGGAUGCAGUGCUGCAGGAAGUGCUCAACCUGGGGCCUGACACCGGCAGAGGGUCCGUGGCACCUUCUGGGUCUGUGACCUCUCCCCAGCACUCUGAGGCUCCCCCACCUAUGGCUGGGCACUACUGUGCCCUCCCACAGCCUCUCUGGGGUAGUGACCAUCUCCUCACAGCAAGCACACCACCCAACUAUUUAACCCCAGGUGGCAGGAAGACAGCUGCACGGGGUGGCCUCCACCUCAGACCCAGAUCUUCAGAUGGCCCUGGGGACACAUCCUUAUGCUGAUUGAGGUUUUGGAGAUGGAGGUCAAGACUGGCACCAUGACAACUCAGGACAAGGCGGCUCAGGACCCCAGAGUGCACACAGGCUGCAGAAGCAGCUGCCUGCAGAGACGGGCAGCAUUGGGGUGUCCCUGCCCAGGACUCAGGGCUUGGCCCAGUGGCCCUCGUGGUGUCUACCUAGGGGGGGCUCAGCCCCCCUCACAGCUCAAGCAUGCUGUGACAUUUAUAAAUGUUAUACGCAGGGAACAGAAACACAUCCCAAAUUAAACAAAACCCCAGAGAGGGCCCGCGUGGGCCCUGGGAAGGAGCGUCCUGACCCCAUCCUCGUGGGCUCCUCGGCAGCUGUGCCUGGCAGCAGUUCAGAUCCUUAUCCAAGUGAACUUGUUUUUUAAGUACCUUUGUAACAAUCCCAGAAUGAAUAUUCACAGGGCAGUGACAAGAAGCAGACAACUGCAGCUUCCAGAGGACAUGCUAGGGGCAGGCCCUGGGAGGGGAGACCCCAGGGGCCCGCCAGGCCAAGCAGGUGGGGAGCCAGGGCUAAAGAUCAAGGGAGCCAGGGCCUGUGCCCUUCCCAGGGCCCUUUGGGAGGAGGCGGGAGGCCGAGGCCAAGUGCAGGGAGAAGCUGAGAACUUGGCGUCUGCUGGAGGGAGCCCAAGCUUCUGGGGCUGGUGAUGAGGAGGCAGGGCCCUGCCAGGGUCUAUCCCAGGUGACUUGGACAGGAUAGCCCCAGGGGCCCCACACUUUUCCUUGGAGGAAGUCCCCUCCAAGGGGGCUUCAGUGAGCCCCAGGGAAGGAGGAGGGGCAGGGCUCCACCCAGCAGGGGGACCCUGGUGGCUCAAAGAGUAUGUCCUUCAGGCUCUUGAAGCAGGAGUCCUCUGUCCCAAACCUGCUUUCCGUGCAGCUUCACCAAGUCUGCACAGAUGAGCAGGUGACAUCCCUAGCUCCACCUGGCAGAGGCCCUGGCCUGGCCCCACCCCCUCAGGAGCAACCGUGUGGGCUGACUGGGUUGAAGAUGAAGGGGCUGCAGGUGUCCUGGACCCCAGACUCAGGGGAAGCUCUGCUUGGUGGGGAGGGAGAGGGAGGUGGGGGAACCUAGUAGGAAGGGAGGGUUGGGACGCAGAAAGGACCCUGCCAGGUGGGAAGAGGGGGAUCACGCACUCCCACCAGGGUUCUCCCGCACCCAUGCCUGGCCUGCAGGGCUCCUCUGACAUCCCUGCUGCAUCUCCUGGGGGCAGUGGGGGCAGGGCUCACAGAGGUGGAAAUGGGUCUCCGGGAACACUAGAGAGGAGCAUGGAAUGCUCACCUCCUCCCAGCACAGCUGGAGACACCUCCCACCUGUCCUGAUGGGAGAUGUGAUUUGAGAAAAUUCAGAGGCCAGUGGGAGAGUGGCCCUGGGCCUCAGGGCCUGCCUGCUUGGCCAUGCGCUCACACUCUGUCCAUGAGGUGGGCUGAUUAUGGCCCUCUCCCUGAAGUGGGUCUGGAUGCCCUUCCUGGGGGCCACAGGGACCCUAUCCCCUGUCUCAGGGGACAUCCCAGGGGUGGUGUCUCAGGGGAAAGGAUGGCUCUGUGUUNUGGCACCUGGCAAGGUCAAAGGGGCGGGGCUGCCCAAGCCCUUUGGAGAGCACAUUUCCCAGCCACGUGUCUGAGGUACUGAGUGCAGAGUUCCUGGGCCUGUGUAC
rnacentral:lncRNA from 1 species